GUACAUGUAGGCCUAUUAUAAAGGGAUUAAACGCCACCAACAGGCGUUGUACGUCUGAUGUCUAUAAAUUUACUUGAAAAAAUUUACCUUAAAAUUUAGGAGCUGUUCAAUGUUUAGAAUGCAGGUUAAAACAUAGUAAAUAAAAAAUAUAAAUGACACACGGAAUUCAUCAAUUAAUUAAAUUAUCUCAAUAUUUUUGUCCACUUUUGUUAAAUUGCAUAAAAUAAAAAAUAACCAAUUUGGAAUAUAUUUUAUAUGUUAUCUAUUCACUGAGAGUCACUGAAACGUGCAUAAAACAAAAAAUACGGUCGGACUGCGUUGUUUUUCUGUAUUUAAAAAUGUAUUUAAACGCGAAACAACCUAACUUAUCUAUCAAGAAAUCUAUCACGAUUUGCAACUUAUUUUUAACGUGACCUUCGGAGCAUGGCGUUGGCAUUUCAGAUCGAGGCGAAUGUUGUGAGCGCGCAGCGUAGGCGUUACGUCACUGAAGUCCUCGAGCUCUGGGAAGAUGCUGCUGUAUGUCUGCAAAUAAUAAAAUGUUAAAGCAAUACAAAGGGAAAUAGGCCGCUACCCUUCCAUCACACAUCUUUUGGACAGAGGGUCGUUCCGUAUCGGAUGAAAUACAUCAGCCAUACGAGGGUCCAAUAGUUGCCCAAUCUCAGCCUUUGCUGGCCAGAUAAAGCACACAGAUUCCUUUAAAACACAUGAGAUGAAGAUGACGUGGCCCGUUUAAUAGCACACUCCUAUAUCUUUAUUUUUGGAGGGUUACCCUUGCCUGAACUCUAAACCUGCCAAUAUGUAUGGAAGUUCACGCUCAGUGAGCAAAAUAGACAGUAAUCACAGUGGAGGUAGAAAUAACCAGGGCAACACGGGACGCUCACCCCGUCUGCCUCGGUCACCCCGCAUGGGCCACCGUCGCACCAACAGCAUGGGGGGCAGCGGGGGAGGCCCAGGAGGCUCUGGAGGCAAAACAUUGUCUAUGGAGAACAUUCAAUCUCUCAACGCUGCCUACGCGACAUCAGGGCCGAUAUACAUGAGUGACAACGAAGUCGCAAUCGGCACCUCAUCCGAUCUGCCCAAGGGUGGGGUGACGACGGGCCGUUUCGGUGGCAGCAUCCCUUAUAGUGUCAGAGGGGCGGUGAUGGGCAGCACCCCUGACAUGGCAAUGGUGCCGGCAGUGUCGACCGACUCCAUGGGCUUUGGAGGGGAGAUCCAUGCGGCAUCAACUGUUCCUCACUCCCUACGUCAGGCGAGGGACAACACCAUCAUGGAGCUGCAAGCCCAGCUCAAGGAGGUGCUGAGGGAAAACGAGCUUCUCCGGAAAGAGAUUGAAGUGAAGGAGAGCAAGCUCAGCUCUUCCAUGAGCUCCAUCAAAAGCUUCUGGAGCCCAGAGCUGAAGAAAGAGCGUGCGCUACGCAAAGAUGAGGCCUCCAAAAUAGUGGUGUGGAAGGAACAGUACCGCGCAGUGCAAGAUGAGACACAGCACCUGCAGACGGCAGUGCAGGCGCUGCAGGCCGAGCUGCGCAUUCAGCGUGACUUAAACCAGCUGCUGCAGCCACCCGGGGAGCCGCUGGCCUGCGAGCCCAGCGAUGAGCAAGAAAGGCAGGCUCGAGAGCUUUUCUUACUCCGCCGUACCCUUGAGGAGAUGGAGGUUCGCUUGGAGACCCAGCGUCAGACGCUUGCUGCUCGCGACGAGUCGGUCAAAAAGCUCCUGGAGAUGUUGCACAGCAAAGGCCCCGCCACUAAAAUCAGCGAGGAAGAUCACGAGCGAACGUGCCGCCUCGCAGAUGCCGAGAUGCACGCACACCACCUGGAGAACCUUCUAGAACAGCGUGACAAAGAGCUAGCAGCUUUGAGAGAGGAGCUGCAUCGCCGUCUCGAGGGGACGCCAGAGACUACAAAAACCAAGGCUCUUCAGACUGUCAUUGAGAUGAAGGAUUCUCAGAUCGGUUCUCUGGAGCGAGGUCUCAGAGAGCUGGAGGAUCAAGUCAUGAUGCUACGAUCCAGCAGCAUGCUCAGCUGUGAAGAACGGCAGGAGGAGGCCAAGCAGAUGGAGGUGUACCGCAACCACACCAAGUUCAUGAAGAACAAGAUGGACCAAGUUAAGCAAGAUCUUUCCAGGAAGGACAGCCAGCUCCUCGGCUUGCAGACCAAGUUGGAGACCCUGACCAACCAGUUUUCUGACAGCAAACAGCAUAUUGAAGUGCUCAAAGAGUCCCUGACUGCCAAAGAACAGCGUGCUGCCAUAUUACAGACUGAGGUGGAUGCUCUGCGGUUGCGUCUGGAAGAGAAAGAGACCACGCUAAACAAGAAAAGCAAGCAGAUCCAGGAAAUGUCAGAGGAAAAGAGCACGCUCAACGGAGAAAUCCACGAUCUUAAGGACAUGCUGGACGUCAAGGAGCGAAAAGUCAACGUACUUCAGAAAAAAAUUGAAAACCUGCAGGAGCAGCUGAGGGAUAAAGAGAAGCAGAUGGGCAGCCUUAGAGAGAGGGUGAAAUCCCUACAAACAGAUACAUCUAAUACAGACACAGCCCUCACCACACUGGAGGACUCGCUGGCUGAGAAGGAACGUAUUAUUGAGCGCCUGAAGGAGCAACGUGACCGCGAGGAGAGGGAGAAAGCAGAAGAGCUGGACAGCAGUAAAAAAGAGCUGAGAGAGUUGAAGGAGAAAGUCAGCAUGCUGCAGGGCGACCUGUCAGACCGCGAGACCUCUCUGCUGGAUCUUAAAGAGCAUGCAUCUUCGCUGGCCUCGUCCGGCCUGAAGAAAGACUCUAAACUGAAAAGCCUAGAGAUCGCUCUUGAACAACGGAGGGAGGAGUGCAUCAAGCUUGAGAACCAACUGAAGAAGGCCCAGAGCGCCGCAGCCAACUCACAUGCCAACUCUGAGCUAUCCGAGCGCAUUUCUUCACUGGAAGCCGAUGUAGGGAGGCACAGGGAGGACUCUGCUAAAGCUCAGGCUGAAGUCGAUCGGCUGCUGGACAUCCUGCGUCAGAUGGAGAAUGAGAAGAAUGACAAGGAUAGAAAAAUCAGCGAGCUUGAGAGCGUGGCUUCCAGGCAAAUAAAAGAGCAGACAAAGAAACCUUCAGGCAAACACAAGGAGCCUCCAGGAAAGGGCCGAAAUGUCAAUGAUGGCCCGCAGCAGGAAUCCUUGCGGCAGAAGGUGGAGCGCAUUGAGGAGCUGGAGGAGGCACUGAGAGAAAGCGUUCAAAUGACUGCGGAGAGAGAGCUGGUGCUGGCACAAGAGGAAGCAGCGAGAAACCACCAGGAGAAACAGAUGGAGGAGCUGCUCGGAGCGAUGGAGAAAGUGAAGCUGGAACUUGAGUCCAUGAAGGCUAAGAUGUCAUCCACCCAACAGUCUCUGGCAGAGAAAGAAGCUCAUCUGACCACACUGAGGGCCGAGAGGAGGAGACACCUGGAAGAAGUGCUAGAGAUGAAACAGGAGGCUCUGCUGGCUGCCAUUAGCGAAAAGGACGCUAACAUAGCCCUGCUGGAGCUGUCCUCGUCUAAAAAAAAGAAAACACAAGAGGAAGUGGCUCAGCUCCGAAGAGAGAAAGAUCGGUUAGUGCAGCAACUCAAAAUGCAGACACAGAAUCGGAUGAAGCUAAUGGCGGAUAAUUAUGACGACGGCUACUUGAAAACCCCACCAGACCAGACCAAUCACAAGCCUCCUAAAUCACCUGAUCAGAUAAGAUCUGGGCGGAAAGCCGGAGUGCACAGGAGCUCUACACUGGCCAUCUGAUUAUCCCGUACAACCACGCCACACCCUUUAUACCUACAGAAUCAUCUCAGCCUACAUCUUAUCACACCCGUUGUCCAGGACCUCACCCACAAAGACAUUACAUUCAUAUAUUCACAGUGGGAGCUGAAGUUUGGAUCUUUGGACCCUGCAUUGGAUCUCCGGAAUUGGGGCAGUCACGAUCAAACCCUCCUCUACCCUCGCAUCUCAUCUGAACAAUCCAAAACCAUAAAAGAGCCUCAAACGGUUUCUAGUCUUAAUACUGGUGCAGAUUUGAAAAUAUGCAGUGUUCGUUGAAUCGUGAAUGCAAUUUUUUAUUUCGUUUCUUGAUAUGUCAUCAUGGUUGAGUAUACACAGGUUUAGAAUGUUAAACUGAUCAAUGGGUGGUGCUAUAUAAACAUAACUGAAUGCCAAACUGUUGUACAACAAUAAAAAAAGUGUUAUGCUAAUUUAACUGCACUAAGUAUUAAGACUAUUGGAUUUCUACUAGAUUUAUUCGUCUGGUUCUGCUUUACUGAAUGACCCUUAACCUUUACCGAAAACUUAUAGGACACCUUCAAGAGCAUGACGUUAACAUGUAUAGAUAGUGAUCGUCUAUUUGUCACAACUGGCGUUAUGUCAGUGGACCAAAUUCAUUAACAGCUGCUAUAAGAAAUAGACAUAAAGUAUCAUAGUAGGAUAUAAAAAAACGUUGGUUGUGCUCAUGAAGGAGUCCAACAAAGGGUGUGUGAAAAACUUAAAAAAAAACAACCUUUAUGAACGUACUGUUUCGGUUCCUGAGGCCAUAGUCGUUUUUUAGAAAACCUUAGACAGGAUAUUGUAAGCUCUGAGAUAUCUUCAUAUCAUAUCCUGAUAGCCAGUUUCUGAGAACUCAUUGCUGGUCUUAUGAACUCUCAUAAACAUGGAUAUCAUUGUGUCUCAAAGUGGAUUUUUUAUGUUGCAUUUGUGCCUAUUGUCUUUGUGUGUUAUAAAAGAAUUGUUAGAAAAAAACGGAUAGUCCAUUGAAAAAAAAAAGAGUAAAGAUAAGAUCACGGGUAUGAGUGUUCUGACUUUGUAUAAAUGUGUAUGUAUAUAAAUAUGUAUGAUCAAUGUU